rnacentral:rRNA from 1 species
ACUGCAUUUUUUCUUACACAUGUGUUUUUCUUUUUUUGAAAACUUUGCUUUGGUAGGCCUUCUAUAUGGGGCCUGCCAGAGAUUAAACUCAACCAAAUUUUAUUUAAUGUCAACCGAUUAUUUAAUAGUCAAAACUUUCAACAACGGAUCUCUUGGUUCUCGCAUCGAUGAAGAACGCAGCGAAAUGCGAUAAGUAAUAUGAAUUGCAGAUAUUCGUGAAUCAUCGAAUCUUUGAACGCACAUUGCGCCCUUUGGUAUUCCAAAGGGCAUGCCUGUUUGAGCGUCAUUUCUCCCUCAAACCCUCGGGUUUGGUGUUGAGCGAUACGCUGGGUUUGCUUGAAAGAAAGGCGGAGUAUAAACUAAUGGAUAGGUUUUUUCCACUCAUUGGUACAAACUCCAAAACUUCUUCCAAAUUCGACCUCAAAUCAGGUAGGACUACCCGCUGAACUUAAGCAUAUCAAUAAGCGGAGG